UGCGUUUUGAAGCAAUGAAGGUACAAGUAUCAGACUGGAGUAUUGAAACUGAAUUAGUUGUGAUUCGUGAAUGUAUUUUACUGAGGAAUUCAACAUUAAUUUACUUACCUCCAAACACGAGACUUAUCUGAUAUUAUUACACGGUUGCUGUGAAAUUUAAUAAUAGGUAAUAUGCAUUCAUACGAAUAAUACCACCACAACAAAUAUUACAUAGACUGUUACAUAUAUGAUACCUGCUAUAAGUAGUAUUCCUGUAAAGUUUAAUACUUUUACAAUAUCCAGUACCAGCUGUACUGUCAUGUACUGUUCAAAAUCGAGAAGCAGAGAGGAUGUAUAAUAUUCUGCGGGUUCAAUUUCCUUGUUUCAUAUUUGCCACGGCCCACAAUGAAUGAAUUUUUCGGUUUCAAAAACCGUUGAACUUAACUCAACGUAACGUGAUUGUUGGCAAAAUGCGAGCCAAAGUUUUAUUUAUAUGUAGAAAAUCAUUAUGAUUUUGCAAAACUGGCUGCAUAUCACUCAACGAUAGUGAAACUCUACGCUGUCGAAAUUUUGGCUGCGAAAUGUUUCUGAUAAACUUUGGCAUGGAUGAUUGCACAUGCUAAUUCUACAGGGUGUAUAAAAAAAGGCGCAACCUCGGAAUUUCCCAAGAAAUCGACUUUG